rnacentral:rRNA from 1 species
GACGAACGCUGGCGGCGUGCCUAACACAUGCAAGUCGAGCGAAUGAGGUUCCUUCGGGAACGGAUUUAGCGGCGGACGGGUGAGUAACACGUGGGCAACCUGCCUCAUAGAGGGGAAUAGCCUUCCGAAAGGGAGAUUAAUACCGCAUAAGAUUGUAGUACCGCAUGGUACAGCAAUUAAAGGAGUAAUCCGCUAUGAGAUGGGCCCGCGGCGCAUUAGCUAGUUGGUGAGGUAACGGCUUACCAAGGCGACGAUGCGUAGCCGACCUGAGAGGGUGAUCGGCCACAUUGGGACUGAGACACGGCCCAGACUCCUACGGGAGGCAGCAGUGGGGAAUAUUGCACAAUGGGGGAAACCCUGAUGCAGCAACGCCGCGUGAGUGAUGACGGCCUUCGGGUUGUAAAGCUCUGUCUUCAGGGACGAUAAUGACGGUACCUGAGGAGGAAGCCACGGCUAACUACGUGCCAGCCGCCGCGGUAA